rnacentral:misc_RNA from 1 species
UCGAGGACAUUGGCACAUACUUCACGACGAUCGUUCUCGUAGCUCAGCUUCGAUACGACGCUGCUGGUCGCUGCCCCAGGGUCCACCUGCGACUGGAUCUGCAGGGGCAUCUGUUGGAUGUCUUAUGGCCUAUCUUAUGUUCUGCCUAAAGGUUUUCCCGCCAUUCUCCACAAUUACUGGGUAUACUAUACUGGAGACUACACUCAACACAAAAAGCCAAGACCAAAUGCCAUUAUAGAGGCAGGCCGGCGGCCUCCUGUUGAUGAGGUGAAACUAGGCAACAAUAUCAGAGACUUUGCCUGGGCCAUCAUCAAGUUACUUAAGUGAUUUCAAUUUAGUAAAUUUUUUACUGCCACAAGAAAGAAGUAAAUAACUAUCGAAACUAUCCCAGCAACCAAAAAAUACAUAGAUAGGGCUUU